rnacentral:tRNA from 1 species
UAGCCUUGUGGAUAAGGCUUCGGAUCGCCAAUCCGGAGACGGUGGGUUCGAAUCCCGU